rnacentral:rRNA from 1 species
AGCAGCCGCGGUAAUUCCAGCUCCAAUAGCGUAUAUUAAAGUUGUUGCAGUUAAAAAGCUCGUAGUUGAAUUUCGGGAUCAAUAUGUCGGUCGUGCCUCCGGUACGUACUGGCAUUAUUGGUUUCUCCCUUCUGAAGAACCUUGAUGUCAUUAAUUUGGUGUCUUGGGGAAUCAGGACUGUUACUUUGAAAAAUUAGAGUGUUUAAAGCAGGCUUGCGCUUGAAUACAUUAGCAUGAAAUAAUGAAAUAGGACGUUUGAUUCUAUUUUGUUGGUUUCUAGGAUCGAUGUAAUGAUUAAUAGGGAUAGUUGGGAGCAUUAGUAUUCAAUUGUCAGAGGUGAAAUUCUUGGAUUUAUUGUAGACUAACUACUG